ACUACGGGAGGCAGCAGUGAGGAAUAUUGGUCAAUGGGCGCGAGCCUGAACCAGCCAAGUAGCGUGAAGGAUGACUGCCCUACGGGAUGUAAACUUAUUUUAUAAAGGAAUAAAGUGAGGCAAGUGUGCCUUUUUGUAUUGACUUUAUGAUAAAGGAUCGGAUAACUACGCGCCAGCAGCCGCGGUAAUACGGAGGAUCCGCGCGUUAUCCGGAUUUAUUGUGUUGAAAGGGAGCGUAGAUGGGGUGAUAAGGCAAUUGUGAAGGUUUGCGGUUCAACCGUAAAAUUGCAAUUGAUACUGGCAGUCUUGAGUACAGUUGAGGUAGGCGGAAUUCGUGGUGUAGCGGUGAAAUGCUUAGAUAUCACGAAGAACUCCGAUUGCGAAGGCAGCUUACUAAACUGCCACUGACAUUGAUGCUCGAAAGUGUGGGUAUCAAACAGGAUUAGAUACCCGAGUAGUC
rnacentral:rRNA from 1 species